rnacentral:piRNA from 2 species
UAAGAAUACAUGGCUGGUUGUGGUGG